rnacentral:lncRNA from 1 species
CAGCCCGUCUGCAGCCUGCAGACACACGUGCCAUGUCACUACAGAGUCACACGGCUUUGGACCGAUCUAAUCAAAAAUAUGGGGAAAGGAGAGAGGCUGUGAUAAAUAUAACUUUGCAAAAGCCCAUUUAAUCAGGGAAGUCAAAGCCAGAUCCAGUGUCUCGGGGGAAGUUUUAUUGGAAGCAGGUUCUCUCUUUGCAAAAAGGAAGGAUCCCGGCCAGCAGCGAGAGGAACUGCACAUGGGUGGCAGGGCUGAGCGUCAGGUCCCGAAGCCAAAUGUCUGAGAAGAUGCAUCUCAUUUAGAGCAUCUUUAUUCCAAGACUGUGCCAGAGUGCACUUGUUGCUAUGGGUUAAAUCCAGGCAUUACCCAACAUAGCCAGAAGCCCAUCACUGCCAUCCGAGUGGGCAGA